ensembl:lncRNA
GUUAAAGCCUGAAGGCUGAACUGGGGCCGUGAAAAGGAACUUAGAAGAUUCAGACAAGAAAACACACUAAAAAUAUUUGGAGAUGGAUUUCUACCUCGUUGUGAUCCCUCUGAGGUUUCCAGCUAUUGAGCAGACACAUUUGUUUUUGUAUUGAGAGUUUUUAACAUGACAAACUGUUACAGAAUACACAGAUGUACUUUAUAGCAACCAGGCGCUUCCUGCAAAACCUUUGCAACUCGUUAUGUAAAAGAAUCCUGUGGUCUGCUUUGCUGCCUCUGCUGUGCUGUGUGCAGGAGGUGCUGCCUUCCCUAUGGAAUGGAAUGGAAUGGAAUGGAAUGGAAUGGAAUGGAAUGGAAUGGAAUGGAACUUCUAUCCCAGCUGAGCCAGGCUGUGCCAUAGGGGUGAGAGGAAAACAACAAGAUUUAAACCACUGUUAAUCUAUCUGUUAUCUCUGCCGUAGCCUGCCUGAAAUCUCCUGUGUCACAGCUUCAUUAACACUGUACCUUGUGCUCAGGCACAAGUAGACCAGAAGAGCCGUGUUUCCAGUGUCAAACCUCCCACUCAGGUCGGUACCACGAUGUACCCCAGCCCACGGUGCACUCCCAGGGAGCCCUUACACUGUUCUCUCCAUUGGGCAACUCAUCUGUUUCAAAAAUCUUUGCCACUACCAAAGCACAGGAGCUCCAGAGGGUGAAGAAGAGCCUGAGGGCUGUGAGGCUCUGCCAUGGCCAGGACACAGCUGCUGUGAUGGCUGUGAAGCCACCUCUGCCGGGGUGCUGCACACACCGACCUGUGCCAGUGCCGGUAUGGAGAUGCCCUUCUGUUCUCUUCUUAUCCGUUACCAACUUUGUUCCAUAACAAAGCUUCCAGAGCUUGGGGGUUUUGUGUGUGUUCUUACUGGGCUGAGGCUGAUGCUCCGCAUCUCCAUCGAGGCAGAGCUCGCACUGCGGGCACUGAGGCGCAGGCUCUGCUCGGCUCCAACGGUGCCGUCAUGCUGCGUUUGCUGGAACGGUCCAGGGCUCAUUUUGGCCAUGGGUGAGUGGUUAAAGGCCUGACCAGCCAGUUUUGCUGGUCUUGUGCAAUGGGCCAGUUCCUUGCUGGGGCUUAUCUGUGCUUGUCACCAAGCUGCUAACAAAUUGGCACCACUGUGUCGGUGCAGAAGCUGCGGGCAGUCCUCUUCCCCUUGCAAACAUCAGGAGAUCCGCAGUCCACGAGCAAAGCCAGUGAGGUUCUGGACCUGUCGAGAUGACGACGGCGCUCAGCGUCACUGAGGGGGUUUCCCAAGAUGAGCAGAAUCUCAUAAGCGGAGGAUCACACUCAAGGGCCUCUCAGGUCAUCACAGACAUUGUUCUUUUCUGUAUGGGAUACUGAGAAGAGCUUGGGACUACGAGAGAAAGCGUGGUCAGCAGCACAGGGAAACCUGCGUCUGUGAGCCAUGGCUGGUUUGCACCAAGAAGGCACUGCUGGCACUGCACCAUUAGGUUACCACUUCCCAUUAAGGCAUCGAAUGCCCUCUUCAGCCCGCACUCCCACUUGUGGAGCACAGAGCUGUGGGCUCACUGAAGGAGCUCAGCAUCCCGGUGGGAUCCCCUGGGAGAAGACACUGCUCCUGACCCCACGGAUGAGCUGUCCUUGCAGGGUGACACCUGGCACUGAGAACAUUUUCUGUAGGAAAAGAUGAUGAAUAAAGGCCUGUCUUCUGACCAUCUGCUGCACUGGAAACUUCUGGAAAAAGCUGGCAAGCAGUUGAGCGUUGGUAAUUCCUACUGUUCUGUUCCUUGGAGGAAUCUGGGAUGGGUGUUUGAGGUCAACGGAACCUGGCCAUGUAUUGUCACAGUGAUAUCACAUCUUUAGGAAGGUUUGCCUUGGAGCACAUCACAGGGGCACACGCAGGUCCUCCCAUGUCCCCGUGGUGUGGAGGGACACGUGGCACCCAUCUGGCUGCUGGGGUCCCACCACUCACACCCAGCAAUGGGCUGCAGACUGCCACCAUGUUCCAGUAACCAAGUAGUGAUCGUGUGGUCAGGCAAAGUCAUUUCCCAGCACUGAAAGCAUAUGAAUGUUUCUCCCGCAGUCUGUUUCCAACCUGCUGUUAAAAGAUCAACAACAAAUAAAU